rnacentral:miRNA from 1 species
UGGACGGAGCGAUGGUGGGCG